UACGGGGGGAGCAAGCGUUGUUCGGAAUCACUGGGCGUAAAGGGCGUGUAGGCGGUCCGCUAAGUCUGAUGUGAAAGCCCGGGGCUCACCCCCGGAAGGGCAUUGGAAACUGGCGGACUCGAGUCCCGGAGAGGAAGGUGGAAUUCCUGGUGUAGCGGUGAAAUGCGUAGAUAUCAGGAGGAAUACCGGUGGCGAAGGCGGCCUUCUGGACGGUGACUGACGCUGAGACGCGAAAGCGUGGGGAGCAAACAGG
rnacentral:rRNA from 1 species